CAUUAGUGAACGACCUCACGGGCUUAUGACUAUUCCAAACCUCUGUGAACAGUGCGCUUCGGGGCUAUUAUACAACCCUGGCGUAAUGAACGUCAUAUAUCAUAACAAAACAAAACUUUCAACAACGGAUCUCUUGGCUCUCGCAUCGAUGAAGAACGCACCGAAAUGCCAUAAGUAAUGUGAAUUGCAGAAUUCAGUGAAUCAUCGAAUCUUUGAACGCACCUUGCGCCCUCUGGUAUUCCGGAGGGCAUGCCUGUUUGAGUGUCAUGUAGACUCAAUCCCUCGGGUUUCCGAGGAGAUUGGACUUGGGUGUUGCCGCUCUGCCGGCUCGCCUUAAAAGACUUAGCGGGAUAGCACCGUAGUCGGCGUACUAAGUUUCGUCCGUGAAGGUUGUGAUGACUGCUUACAAUCGCCCUNGGGCAAUUUUUGACUCUGACCUCAAAUCAGGUAGGACUACCCGCUGAACUU
rnacentral:rRNA from 1 species